rnacentral:tRNA from 1 species
GCUGGUGUGGCUCAGUCGGUAGAGCAGCUGAUUCGUAAUCAGCAGGUCGGCGGUUCGAUCCCGCCCACCAGCUCCA